rnacentral:rRNA from 1 species
GAUGAACGCUAGCUACAGGCUUAACACAUGCAAGUCGAGGGACCGGCGCACGGGUGAGUAACACGUAUCCAACCUGCCCUUUACUCGGAGAUAGCCUUUCGAAAGAACGAUUAAUACCCGAUAUAAAGGAUGGGGAUGCGUUCCAUUAGGUUGUUGGGGAGGUAACGGCCCACCAAGCCUUCGAUGGCUAGGGGUGCUGAGAGGAAGGUCCCCCACAUUGGAACUGAGACACGGUCCAAACUCGUACGGGAGGCAGCAGUGAGGAAUAUUGGGCAAUGGGCGGUAGCCUGAACCAGCCAAGUAGCGUGAAGGAUGAAGGCUUAUGGGUCGUAAACUUCUUCUAUAGAAGAAUAUGUAUUAUAUGAAUAAGGAUCGGCUAACUCUGUGCCAGCCGCCGCGGUAAUAC